rnacentral:lncRNA from 1 species
GGAACCCAGGCCCUUCCGGUCCGGCAGCUCCUGCUGCGACUUGCAGCGUUUGGGGAAAGUUACUCACCAACUAGUCAUGCGCCUCGGAUGCCGCCGGCCACGGGGCUCCCGGAGGGGGGUCCGACACCGCCCGGUGCCCGGGAUCCCCAAUCUGGCCGGUGGAUGAGGCCCCAUCCCAUGCACCCGAGUGCGGGGGACGGGGGGGUUAAUAUUAAUUCAGGAUCCCAUCCCCACCCGAGGCAGGACACCCAGUGCACGCCCCAACUCCGGGACGCGGGCUCUGACCCUGGAACUUCCGAGAUUCCCGCGACGCCCCCUGUCUCUGGGUCCAGAACUUCGGGGGACACCUCUUCUGCCUCCUCCAACCCCAGAGAUGGGGUGUCACUAUGUUGCCCAGGCUGGUCUCCAACUCCUGGACUCAAGAGAUCUGCCUGCCUCAGCCUCUCAAAGGGCUGGGAUAACAGAUGUAAGCCACUGCAUCUGGCCUCCAAUGAGUUGUUAUGUGAAGAGAACGUGAUUAAGUUAGAGGACUCCAACCAGGCCUGAACUCUCAAGGACAGAAAUGGGUCCAACCUGGCAUGACAUCCUCUAAAUCUUUAGCUCCUGGCCUCUCAGGUGCCCCCUCCAGCUACCUCCCUCUUCCUUCUCUUCAUUCCCCAAGCCAUAGCUGGUUGGGCCAACCUCCAGACAUUAGCCUCUUUGCAAACUCCUAUUCAUCCCUCAAAGCCUCACCUUCAAUGCUCUCCUCCCCAAGAAGCUCUCUCCUCUACCUCUAGACCUUUUCCAGCCCUCUUCCCUCUUUCUGGCCCAGCCCUGACUCCUGGGAGUGUCUGUGUGCAGCUUUGACUCCCCCAGCCUGAGUGUCUCUCAAGGGCUGAGACCAGGGCCCAUGUUUCCCUAGAGUUUGUCAUCUUCCAGCAUAGUGUGGACGCAUGGGGGUCAGGCAAAGGGGGAGUUUGAUGACUCAGUACUAUUGGUGAUUUUGCAUCACUUGAAGGAGACCCUGCCUUAAAUUCAGAACUUGA